UGUCCUAAGAAUGCCAUUUCC
ensembl:piRNA 21ur-9841 ncRNA